rnacentral:rRNA from 1 species
CCUACGGGAGGCAGCAGUGGGGAAUAUUGCACAAUGGGCGCAAGCCUGAUGCAGCCAUGCCGCGUGUGUGAAGAAGGCCUUAGGGUUGUAAAGCACUUUCAGCGAGGAGGCGUUACUCGCAGAAGAAGCACCGGCUAACUCCGUGCCAGCAGCCGCGGUAAUACGGAGGGUGCAAGCGUUAAUCGGAAUUACUGGGCGUAAAGCGCACGCAGGCGGUUUGUUAAGUCAGAUGUGAAAUCCCCGAGCUUAACUUGGGAACUGCAUUUGAAACUGGCAAGCUAGAGUCUUGUAGAGGGGGGUAGAAUUCCAGGUGUAGCGGUGAAAUGCGUAGAGAUCUGGAGGAAUACCGGUGGCGAAGGCGGCCCCCUGGACAAGCUGACGCUCAGGUGCGAAAGCGUGGGGAGCAAACAGGAUUAGAUACCCUUGUAGUC